UACGAAGGGGGCGAGCGUUGUUCGGAUUUACUGGGCGUAAAGGGCGCGCAGGCGGUUCUGUUUGUCGAGUGUGAAAGCCCCGGGCUCAACCUGGGAACUGCGCUCGAAACGGCAGAACUAGAGUUCGGGAGAGGAGAGUGGAAUUCCCAGUGUAGAGGUGAAAUUCGUAGAUAUUGGGAAGAACACCAGUGGCGAAGGCGGCUCACUGGCCCGGUACUGACGCUGAGGUGCGAAAGCGUGGGGAGCAAACAGG
rnacentral:rRNA from 1 species